rnacentral:rRNA from 1 species
UGGGGAAUUUUGGACAAUGGGCGAAAGCCUGAUCCAGCAAUGCCGCGUGUGUGAAGAAGGCCUUCGGGUUGUAAAGCACUUUUGUCCGGAAAGAAAUCCUUGGCUCUAAUACAGUCGGGGGAUGACGGUACCGGAAGAAUAAGCACCGGCUAACUACGUGCCAGCAACCGCGGUAAUACGUAGGGUGCAAGCGUUAAUCGGAAUUACUGGGCGUAAAGCGUGCGCAGGCGGUUUGCUAAGACCGAUGUGAAAUCCCCGGGCUCAACCUGGGAACUGCAUUGAUGACUGGCAGGCUAGAGUAUGGCAGAGGGGGGUAGAAUUCCACGUGUAGCAGUGAAAUGCGUAGAGAUGUGGAGGAAUACCGAUGGCGAAGGCAGCCCCCUGGGCCAAUACUGACGCUCAUGCACGAAAGCGUGGGGAGCAAACAGGAUUAGAUACCCUGGUAGUCCACGCCCUAAAACGAUGUCAACUAGUUGUUGGGGAUUCAUUUCCUUAGUAACGUAGCUAACGCGUGAAGUUGACCGCCUGGGGAGUACGGUCGCAAGAUUAAAACUCAAAGGAAUUGACGGGGUCAUAGCUGUUUCCU